rnacentral:rRNA from 1 species
UACGAAGGGGGCUAGCGUUGUUCGGAAUUACUGGGCGUAAAGCGCGCGCAGGCGGCCUUUCAAGUCAGGGGUGAAAGCCCGGAGCUCAACUCCGGAAUUGCCUUUGAAACUGUCAGGCUCGAGUACGGGAGAGGUGAGUGGAAUUCCCAGUGUAGAGGUGAAAUUCGUAGAUAUUGGGAAGAACACCGGUGGCGAAGGCGGCUCACUGGCCCGUUUCUGACGCUCAGGCGCGACAGCGUGGGGAGCGAUCCGG